rnacentral:rRNA from 1 species
UUAAAAUGGGAUUAGAUACCCCACUAUAUGGAGUGAAAANUAGUAGAAGCACUAAAACCCCCAGGUUAAAACUUAAAGAGCAUGGCGGCGAACUUAACUCUUCAGGGGAAUUUACCAGAUAAUUGACAACCCACAAGAAGCCUCUCUCACCCUCACAGUUUGUAUGCCGCCGUCUUCAGGUAACGCCUAAGGUUUUACCAGCCAUCUAACGGAUAAAAGACAGGUCAUGGUGCAGCUAAUGGUUGCGUGCUAGGUGAGUUACAAUAAGAAAUGUUUUCCGCUACAAGCAUUAAAGCAGCUUGUAAAAGCAGGACUUGAAAGUAAUUAUUAGGUCAGUAACUAUUGAAUAACUUAUAAGUUCGUGCACACNCCNCCC